CGUCACUGUGAUGGCAGCGCUAGGGCACCCUGACCCGAAGGCUUUGCCUCGGUUGUGAUGGGUCAGCCCUAGCCUCUGAGUGACC
ensembl:snoRNA SNORD86 small nucleolar RNA, C/D box 86